AGUGACUUUUGCCCUAGGCCAGAUAGCCCAUAGGUGCAGAAAGGAUAAGACUCAGGGUCACAUGACCCCAAAGCACCUUCCCUUGCUACUUCUAUUCUUGCUCCUGUUCUCUACUCUUAAGUGAUCCGGAUGGGCUCCUGCAUGAGUAGACGAUAAGACCACCCUGAAGAAUGUUCAUUCCUUCCUCAUUGCAAUAGUGCCACGGCCCUGCUUGGCCAGAGGUGGGGUGUGGUCUGGGGCAAACAUGUUCUUCCCCUCCCUUCCCAAACCAGAAGCUGGGACUGUACUGAUCUAGAACGGGAGGACAAGGACAGUGAGUCGCUGGGGCUCUUUCUCUUCCCUCAGCCCUGUUUCCUGGUUCCUCCAGGAACCUCACUGACGGCAAGCUUUGUGCUGGCUUCCAUUCUGAAGUGGAGGCUCCUGGCUGGGUGUUGCCUGGACACUUUGUUCCUGGUGGGCACUGUGCACUCAGAAGAAGGCUGGGCCAAAAUGGGUCUGUACUCAAGUUUCCAGUGGUAGUUCAUCAAUAAGGAAGAUCACUGAGGCUGUGAUCUUCCAGACAGGGUUGUGAAAAUAACUAGGAAUGAAAAAAGUAGCUGGAUCAAAGGUUACAAAGGGUUGGAUACAUUGGCUCACACUUGUAAUCCCAGCACUUUGGGAGGCUGAAGUGGAGGAUCACUUGAGGCCAGGAGUUUGAGACUAGCCUGAGCAACAUAGUGAGAUUCCAUCUCUACAAAAAAAAAUCUAGUAAGACUAUAUUUUAAAAAAUGCAAUCAAGGUUGAUAACUGGGAGGAAAAAAGAAAGAAAGAAAAAAAAGGGUUACAGAGAACCCUGCUUGACUGAAGGGACUUCGCACACUGCCAUUUUACCCACACACUGAUAGAAGAAAAUGCUUCAAGGAGAACUCAUUUACCCAGAUAACUUCCUUUAAUUAAGAAAUUUCAAAAAAUUCCCUGAAUGGUUUAGAUAAUAUGUUUGUCCAAUCAUGACUUCACAAGGGAUCUGAAGCAAUGUAGUUCUGGUCCAGAACUGUCAGUGCUGAGGAGAUUCCCAGUGUCCACAGCUGCUGCUCCCAAGCUCACUGCUGGUCUUUCCCUAGACUCUCUUCCUGGGCAAUAACUUGAAAGAAGCUGAAGUUUGUUAGCUCUGUGACUCUACCUGGAGCUCCAGCCUUACACAUCCCAAUCAGGAUGGGGCAUCUCCCUGGCUCGACAAGCCACAGGGGCUCCAAAACUGCCUGACUUUUCAUCUCCCACUCCCAUGGAACGUUCUCAUACACGGUGUUCUGUUACCGGCACUGUUGCUCCACCACUCACCCAGGCCUAGCCUCCUGCCUCUCUAACAGCCAAUGGCGACCAAGUCCUAGCAGUCCUAUCUCUAAAGGUCCUCGCUAUCUGUCGUCUCCCCUUCAUUUUCCCAGUUACUCCAGUUACUGUCCUACUGAAGGACCCCCAUCCCAUCUGGGCUACUAUAACCACAUGGACCAUCCCUUGCUUCAAUCAUAGAAUUCUUUCUUCAGAUCAAAGUAUAUUCAGACACCCGAUACAGUAACAAAAGCAAGCUAUCCUGGAAACAAGAAGGAAUCAGGAGGCAGAGCACAUGGUUAAAGCAUGAGAUGUGAAACCAGGAAGAACCAGGUCUGAACCUUAGCUCCACCAGUGGUAGCCCCAAACCUUGGUCCUUUCUGAGCCUGCUUCUUCAACCCUAAGGGAACGCUACACUUCCUUAGAAAUUAAGAGUGUGUGCUACACUGCUUUACCAGAGCAAGACCAAAAGCAGCUUCAAUUAUGGUACAACUGUGUGAAGACACAAUGCGAAACCACUCAAGAAUGCUCACUCAAAUGGAUUUUUACCAUGGAACUCGGAAACGGGACCCAGAAAGUUGUUUUCUGCAAGUGGAUGGAACAACACAAGCAAUCAGUAUCCUGAAACAGGCCCUGUUCCAACAAACUGACCCAGAAAGGUCUGGUUAGGAGGACAGGACCCUCACUAUACACUAUCACAUUUAAACUAAAAGGAUAUUAUGGAAUUAUGUAGACAUAUCAAGCUGAGAGGAAAGGAAAUCCUAUCAUCUUGCAGGCUUCCUAAUGAUCUUACUUAAAACUGAGUUACUGCAACAAUAACGUGUAUUCCACUUACUCAUACCUGUUCCCUCAUACCUGUUCA